GUCCCAGUAGCGCAAUGGAUAGCGUGUUGGAUUUCAAAUCCAAAGGCCGUGGGCUCAAAUCCCUCCUGGUAUG
rnacentral:tRNA from 1 species